GCGGUGGUUCCUGCUGACUGAAAACCUUUCAUCGGGAUGGAUUCGGAAAGAAAACCACAACGGGAUUGCUCCGACAUACGUGCCCGAACGGAGACCGUCACCAGGCAGGAGAAUCAGGAAUCCAGCUGAAGUUUAUAUACCAUUCCGGGGCUCAUAAGGACAUCUUGUCAUAUAGAUCCACUGAAGCGCCGAGUGGAUGUUGCAGCGCGAGUUGUUCGGGUUGGUGCACCAGUCGGACAAGGAUCCACGGUUUAGCGCUGCGGAUAUGGCAGAAGAAGUACCAUCCCUGACCGUAAUACGCGAGACACCUUUGGUGUAUUGGGCUCAAAAGACUUGUACGACCAGCUCACAAUGGUUCACAGUCUACUCAGGAAGUCAGCACACAAGAUCGAGCGUCUUCUCGCUAUCAUCACUCUGGUUAUCAAUACGAAGGCCUAUUACUGUUAAAAACGAUAAUAUAUAACAAAUAAAUACAAUUUAAUACUUUU